CAGUUUAUCUCAUGCAGUAUGAUGUACAUACAGUUUAUGUGCUAAUGGAUUUUGCGUUAAUGAUAAGCAAUUGAAUAGGAUGAGCACGAGGAAAGUCAUAGCCGUGGAUGAUCACUUGCCGAAGGUUUGCAAGUGGUAUCUUUAAAUUACAGCCGAGUACAUUAUGCUUGUUACUUUACUAGCCCAUAUUUUGGAUGUAAAUAUGUAAUUUUUUAUAAGUUGACAAUGUGGUCAUUAAAAUGAGUCAUGUCAAAUAUUUUGGUUGUUUAUAAAUAGGUUGUUUUGAUUGAAAA